UACGUAGGGUGCGAGCGUUAAUCGGAAUUACUGGGCGUAAAGCGUGCGCAGGCGGUUUUGUAAGUCAGAUGUGAAAGCCCCGGGCUUAACCUGGGAAUGGCAUUUGGGACUGCAAGGCUGGAGUGUGGCAGAGGAGACUGGAAUUCCUGGUGUAGCAGUGAAAUGCGUAGAUAUCAGGAGGAAUACCGAUGGCGAAGGCAGGUCUCUGGGCUGACACUGACGCUCAUGCACGAAAGCGUGGGGAGCAAACAGG
rnacentral:rRNA from 1 species